CUUUUUCACGAAAGACAAACAGUUUGAGAACCUUUCUCUCUCAUUAACCUUGUUAAGGAUACUUUCCCAUUUUUAGAAAUGAAAAGGGCAAGGCCUUGGCCGGAAAACGUAUUCCUCUGCCUUCUAUGACUACUGUUUCAGAUUCAGUCAGAGAGGAUACUGGCCCAUGUUGAUUCAUUGGAGACGAAGACAGAAGGAUCAGUGGGUCAUCAGAGGGUCCAUUAUACACGUGAUAUUUAACUGCCUGCAUGCUUUUUAGGGAGAAGAGAUAUGAUGGGGAUUGUGUCGGCCCCGUUUUGGGGCCACUCUUUACAGGUCAAGGAGCAAGAAGAGCGAACAUGGGGCUGACAGCUUCGUGGUGGCACUCAACGCCUACUGUUCAUCUAUCGAUUUCCACAGGGCAUAGCUAGGCUAGCACUCAAGAUUGCGAUUUUUGGAGUUACCCCACCGCACCCAGGAAUGUGAAUCCGUUUUCAACAAAACUAGGUCAAAAAGUCACUUCCUCUGUGCCUCCAUCUAAAUGGUGUAUUCAAACCACAAAAGCUUGCUUGUUGAGGUAAUGCCAUGUGCUGCCUUUACAAUGAAUUGGGUUGGUGUGUAUCCAAUUGCAAGUUAGAUUGUGAGUUUGAGAUAGACUUGAAUGUUACUUGCUCAUAUUGGAGUCUACGGAAUCUUGUGUUUGAAAAUGUUUGGUGUCACUUGGAUUAUUCAUGGAACAGUAUAAGUGAGUUGAAGAUUCGUUUGAUAUCAUUCUAAUUUUUUGUUUCAUGUUUACAAGAAACAAAAACGUUAUUGAAAGGUUUGUAGAAUCCUAUCUUCAAAAAUUUAUAUUAUUUGGAUUACGUAUAAGACAUAAGUGAACUUGAUUUUCCUAA